GAUGAACGCUGGCGGCGUGCCUAAUACAUGCAAGUCGAGCGAAUGGAUUAAGAGCUUGCUCUUAUGAAGUUAGCGGCGGACGGGUGAGUAACACGUGGGUAACCUGCCCAUAAGACUGGGAUAACUCCGGGAAACCGGGGCUAAUACCGGAUAACAUUUUGAACCGCAUGGUUCGAAAUUGAAAGGCGGCUUCGGCUGUCACUUAUGGAUGGACCCGCGUCGCAUUAGCUAGUUGGUGAGGUAACGGCUCACCAAGGCAACGAUGCGUAGCCGACCUGCGAGGGUGAUCGGCCACACUGGGACUGAGACACGGCCCAGACUCCUACGGGAGGUGGCAGUAGGGAAUCUUCCGCAAUGGACGAAAGUCUGACGGAGCAACGCCGCGUGAGUGAUGAAGGCUUUCGGGUCGUAAAACUCUGUUGUUAGGGAAGAACAAGUGCUAGUUGAAUAAGCUGGCACCUUGACGGUACCUAACCAGAAAGCCACGGCUAACUACGUGCCAGCAGCCGCAGUAA
rnacentral:rRNA from 1 species